UCCGAAGGUUACAUUGGCUCUGUCGCUACACGAUCUGCUGGACUUCGGCCUAUAUGAAACAAACGAAAGUAUGCGGCAAGCAGAACGCGACCUUUAUUUGACUGGGUCAAUGAAAUGCUUGUUGGCUGUUCAUUUAUCCGCCGCAGCCGUGAUGACUGUGGUGUACUCGGCGGCUAUCACAGGGGAAUUAAGCGUGAGAUACGAUCAGCCCACUGUGGAGUCUGUGGAGGAUUUGAACCGUUUUCCCGGGCGGACAAUCUUAGUGGCCAGUCGCAGCACCACCUUUGACUGGUUGCAGCUCAAAGCAAGUCAAAAUAAUACGGCCUACCAAGCGGUCGUAAGCAGGGUGUUGGCCCAGCCAUCGGACAAAACUUUUACGCCGCAGUACGACGCCGUUCGAGCACUGUUGAAUGACUCCACGGGAAAAUCCGU